UAAUACGGAGGGUGCAAGCGUUAAUCGGAAUUACUGGGCGUAAAGAGUACGUAGGCGGUUUAUUAAGUCAGAUGUGAAAGCCCAGGGCUCAACCUUGGAACUGCAUUUGAUACUGGUGAACUAGAGUAUGGUAGAGGGGGGUAGAAUUUCUGGUGUAGCGGUGAAAUGCGUAGAUAUCAGAAGGAAUACCAGUGGCGAAGGCGGCCCCCUGGCCCAAUACUGACGCUGAGGUACGAAAGCGUGGGUAGCGAACGGGAUUAGAUACCCCGGUAGUCCACGCCGUAAACGAUGUCAACUAGCCGUUGGGACCUUGAGGUCUCAGUGGUGCAGCUAACGCGUGAAGUUGACCGCCUGGGGAGUACGGCCGCAAGGCUA
rnacentral:rRNA from 1 species